rnacentral:rRNA from 1 species
CCCUUAGAUGUUCUGGGCUGCACGCGCGCUACACUGACGCACGCAACAGGUGCCUGCUCCGAGAGGACUGGGUAAUCAUUUGAGUGUGCGUCGUGAUGGGGAUAGAAUAUUGUAAUUAUUACUCUUCAACGAGGAAUUCCUAGUAAGCGCCAGUCAGCAGCUUGCGCUGAUUACGUCCCUGCCCUUUGUACACACCGCCCGUCGCUCCUACCGAUGGGUGAUCCGGUGAAUGAUUCGGACCUCAGCGGCUCCCCUGGGGUGCGCCGGAGAAAGUUUUGUGAACCUUAUCACUUGGAGGAAGGAGAAGUCGUAACA